ACUCAAAUGAAUUGACGGGGGCCCGCACAAGCGGUGGAUCAUGUGGUUUAAUUCGAAGCAACGCGAAGAACCUUACCUGGGUUUGACAUCCUCGGACAGCCGUAGAGAUACGGUUUUCGUAGCAAUACGACCGAGAGACAGGUGCUGCAUGGCUGUCGUCAGCUCGUGUGGUGACAUGUUGGGUUAAGUCCCGCAACGAGCGCAACCCUUGUCCUUAGUUGCCAGCAUUCAGUUGGGCUCUCUAAGGAGACUGCCGUGGUUAACACGGAGGAAGGUGGGGAUGACGUCAAGUCCUCAUGGCCUUUAUAUCCAGGGCGACACACGUGAUACAAUGGACGGUACAGAGGGAAGCGAAGGAGCGAUCUGGAGCCAAUCUCAAAAAGCCGUUCUCAGUUCGGAUUGGAGUCUGCAAUUCGACUCCAUGAAGUUGGAAUCGCUAGUAAUCGCGGAUCAGCACGCCGCGGUGAAUACGUUCCCGGGCCUUGCACACACCGCCCGU
rnacentral:rRNA from 1 species